AUUGAACGCUAGCGGGAUGCCUUACACAUGCAAGUCGAACGGAGUGGCGAACGGGUGAGUAAUGUAUCGGAACGUGCCCAGUAGCGGGGGAUAACUACGCGAAAGCGUAGCUAAUACCGCAUACUAUUGGAGCGGCCGAUAUCGGAUUGGCUAGUUGGGUGGGUAACGGCUCACCAAGGCGACGAUCCGUAGCUGGUUUGAGAGGACUAACAGCCAGACUGGGACUGUGAUACGGCCCAGACUCCUACGUGAGGCAGCAGUGGGGAAUUUUGGAAAAUGGUGGAAACCCGGAUCCAGCCAUCCCGCGUGUGCGAUGAAGGCCUUCGGGUUGUAAAGCACUUUUGGCAGGAAAUCGGUACCUGCAGAAUAAGCACCGGCUAACUACGUGCCAGCAGCCGCGGUAAUAC
rnacentral:rRNA from 1 species